rnacentral:rRNA from 1 species
AAGGUUCCCUCAGAAUGGUUGGAAAUCAUUCAUAGAGUGUAAAGGCAUAAGGGAGCUUGACUGCGAGACCUACAAGUCGAGCAGGGUCGAAAGACGGACUUAGUGAUCCGGUGGUUCCGCAUGGAAGGGCCAUCGCUCAACGGAUAAAAGCUACCCCGGGGAUAACAGGCUUAUCUCCCCCAAGAGUUCACAUCGACGGGGAGGUUUGGCACCUCGAUGUCGGCUCAUCGCAUCCUGGGGCUGUAGUCGGUCCCAAGGGUUGGGCUGUUCGCCCAUUAAAGCGGUACGCGAGCUGGGUUCAGAACGUCGUGAGACAGUUCGGUCCCUAUCCGUCGUGGGCGUAGGAAAUUUGAGAGGAGCUGUCCUUAGUACGAGAGGACCGGGAUGGACAUACCUCUGGUGUACCAGUUGUCGUGCCAACGGCAUAGCUGGGUAGCUAUGUAUGGACGGGAUAAGUGCUGAAAGCAUCUAAGCAUGAAGCCCCCCUCAAGAUGAGAUUUCCCAACUUCGGUUAUAAGAUCCCUCGAAGAUGACGAGGUUAAUAGGUUCGAGGUGGAAGCGUGGUGACACGUGGAGCUGACGAAUACUAAUCGAUCGAAGACUUAAUCAAUUUUUAAA